GCCUGGACAGCUCAGUUGGUUAGAGUAUGGUGCUGAUAACGCCAAGGUUGCAGGUUCAAUCCCUGUAUGGGACA